rnacentral:rRNA from 1 species
GACGAACCGUGCGAACGUUGUUCGGAAUCACUGGGCUUAAAGGGCGCGUAGGCGGGCCACCCAGUCCGGGGUGAAAUCUUUCGGCUCAACCGGAAAAGGGCCUUGGAUACUGGUGGUCUGGAGGAAGGUAGGGGCAUGCGGAACUUCCGGUGGAGCGGUGAAAUGCGUUGAUAUCGGAAGGAACGCCGGCGGCGAAAGCGGCGUGCUGGACCUUUGCUGACGCUGAUGCGCGAAAGCCAGGGGAGCGAACGGG